AUUGGACGCUGGCGGCAUGCUUUACACAUGCAAGUCGAACGGCAGCACGGGGGCAGCCCUGGUGGCGAGUGGCGAACGGGUGAGUAAUACAUCGGAACGUGCCCGGUCGUGGGGGAUAACGUAGCGAAAGUUACGCUAAUACCGCAUACGAUCUGAGGAUGAAAGCGGGGGACCUUCGGGCCUCGCGCGAUCGGAGCGGCCGAUGUCAGAUUAGGUAGUUGGUGGGGUAAAGGCCUACCAAGCCGACGAUCUGUAGCUGGUCUGAGAGGACGACCAGCCACACUGGGACUGAGACACGGCCCAGACUCCUACGGGAGGCAGCAGUGGGGAAUUUUGGACAAUGGGCGCAAGCCUGAUCCAGCCAUUCCGCGUGCAGGACGAAGGCCUUCGGGUUGUAAACUGCUUUUGUACGGAACGAAAAGGCUCUGGCUAAUACCUGGGGCUCAUGACGGUACCGUAAGAAUAAGCACCGGCUAACUACGUG
rnacentral:rRNA from 1 species